AUUGAACGCUGGCGGCAAGCCUAACACAUGCAAGUCGAACGAGUGGCGGACGGGUGAGUAAUGUCUGGGAAACUGCCUGAUGGAGGGGGAUAACUACUGGAAACGGUAGCUAAUACCGCAUACCAUCGGAUGUGCCCCGCUGGGAUUAGCUAGUAGGUGGGGUAAAGGCUCACCUAGGCGACGAUCCCUAGCUGGUCUGAGAGGAUGACCAGCCAAGUGGGAACUGGGACACGGUCCAGACUCCUACGGGAUGCGGCAGUGGGGAAUAUUGCACAAUGGGCGCAGGCCGGAUGCAGCCAUGCCGCGUGUAUGAAGAAGGCCUUCGGGUUUUAAAGUACUUUCAGCGGGGAGGCGUUACCCGCAGAAGAAGCACCGGCUAACUCCGUGCUAGCAGCCGCGGUAAUUC
rnacentral:rRNA from 1 species